rnacentral:rRNA from 1 species
GGGAAUAUUGGACAAUGGGGCGAAAGCCUGAUCCAGCCAUGCCGCGUGUGUGAAGAAGGUCUUCGGAUUGUAAAGCACUUUAAGUUGGGAGGAAGGGCAGUAAAUUAAUACUUUGCUGUUUUGACGUUACCGACAGAAUAAGCACCGGCUAACUCUGUGCCAGCAGCCGCGGUAAUACAGAGGGUGCAAGCGUUAAUCGGAAUUACUGGGCGUAAAGCGCGCGUAGGUGGUUCGUUAAGUUGGAUGUGAAAUCCCCGGGCUCAACCUGGGAACUGCAUUCAAAACUGACGAGCUAGAGUAUGGUAGAGGGUGGUGGAAUUUCCUGUGUAGCGGUGAAAUGCGUAGAUAUAGGAAGGAACACCAGUGGCGAAGGCGACCACCUGGACUGAUACUGACACUGAGGUGCGAAAGCGUGG